CUCUCUUCUCUCUCUCCCUCUCCCUCUCUCUCUCUCUCUCUCUUUUAAAAAAUCAGCCAUUUGGGGUUUUAAGCCAUAAACGAUUUUUCUUGUUGCAGGGGAUUGCAGUGGCAAAGCUAGGCUAGGUCUUGGAGGCUGGUGUAAGGCGAUGUGGGUGAAGGCAGGAGGCUGAUGGAAAGACUGGGGGGAAGAAAAGCCGAAAUGGAUUCACGGUGCCUUGGAUGAAGGACGAGAGGGGAACUGCAAGCUCCUUCAACUGGUUCUGUCCGGUGAGAAGUGAUCAAGCUUGGGCUGACAAGAGGCUCAGGGAGCCCUCACGUUCUUUCGCUUUUUUACCUGCCAAUCAAACUGCUACAAGACAACACCCUGAUCUGGCAUGGACAUGCCUCCCUACAGCGUUGGCUCAGCUCUAGCUACUUGGAAGGUCGUGGCAAUGCUGUCUCAGAAUGUCCGUUUCUAGAGUACAGAGAAGAAAUUCUAGCUUGACGUCCACGUGCAUUUGUCUGUGUUUCAGAGGAAAUUCCAAUUCUAAACUCUUGGAAGAAACAAUUUCUCGGCAUGCUGAAGAGAAUUGCUGUUUUUUGGCACCUGAAACACUUUUACCCAAGGGUUCUGAUUAUUUAAAUAAUUGUCUCAAUACCUUCACAGAGGUGAAGAAGCAGCAACCAAAUGAAUUAGACAGCAACAUGAUUCCUAGAGAAUGGCAAGACCAAUUCUUCAACUACUUCUUCAGCAUUUCUGAAACAUAUGGAAGAUGGCCCAUUGUGCUCUCUUAAUUCUUUGAUAAUCUGGACAUUGACUUUUCCAUUAUAUGACCUGGGCUUGUGGGCAUCAUGUCAUAAUGCACCUGUUCAGACAUCUCCCUGUACCAAUAUGGAUCACUUGAAGAGACUCCUUUGCCCCCAUCAAAAAGGAUACAGUUGUGUAUCUCUUCCAUUUUUGUUUACAGUGCCUAAAAUUAUUUGAGCAGUUUUUCACCUCUUCUCUGAUAAACACCUUAUUAGUCCUUAAAAAGAAAAGAAAAAAGGAAAAUAAAACUUUUAUUGAGAUCCUAA
rnacentral:lncRNA from 1 species